GACGAACGCUGGCGGCGCGCUUAACACAUGCAAGUCGAGCGAGAACCUAGGCUUCGGCCUAGGGGACAGCGGCGAACGGGUGAGUAACACGUGGGUAAUCUGCCCUCGACAUCGGGAUAGCCCGGGGAAACCCGGAUUAAUACCGAAUGGCCCAUCCGCUUUUCGGAGCGGCUGGAAAGGUAGCUUCGGCCUCCGGUCGAGGAGGAGCCCGCGGCGGAUUAGCUUGUUGGUGAGGUAAUGGCUCACCAAGGCGACGAUCCGUAGCUGGUCUGAGAGGACGAUCAGCCACACUGGGACUGAGACACGGCCCAGACUCCUACGGGAGGCAGCAGUGGGGAAUCUUGCGCAAUGGGCGAAAGCCUGACGCAGCGACGCCGCGUGCGGGAAGAAGGCC
rnacentral:rRNA from 1 species